GCAGUCGAGAAUUUUUCUCAAUGGGGGAAACCCUGAAGGAGCGACGCCGCGUGGAGGAUGAAGGCUUUCGGGUUGUAAACUCCUGUCAUUUGAGAACAAGGUGCGAGUAUUAACUGUGCUCGUAUUGAUAGUAUCAGAAGAGGAAGGGACGGCUAACUCUGUGCCAGCAGCCGCGGUAAUACAGAGGUCCCGAGCGUUGUUCGGAUUCAUUGGGCGUAAAGGGUGCGUAGGUGGCGCUGUAAGUCAGGUGUGAAAUUUCGGAGCUUAACUCCGAAACUGCAUUCGAUACUGCGGUGCUUGAGGACUGGAGAGGAGACUGGAAUUCAUGGUGUAGCAGUGAAAUGCGUAGAGAUCAUGAGGAAGACCAGUGGCGAAGGCGGGUCUCUGGACAGUUCCUGACACUGAGGCACGAAGGCCAGGGGAGCAAACGGGAUUAGAUACCCCGGUAGUCCUGGCAGUAAACGGUGCACGUUUGGUGUGGGAGGAUUCGACCCCUUCCGCGCCGGAGCUAACGCGUUAAACGUGCCGCCUGGGGAGUACGGUCGCAAGAUUAAAACUCAAAGAAAUUGACGGGGGCCCGCACAAGCGGUGGAGUAUGUGGCUUAAUUCGAUGCAACGCGAAGAACCUUACCAGGCCUUGACAUGCACUUGACUGACAUUGAAAGGUGUCUUUCCUUCGGGACAAGUGCACAGGUGCUGCAUGGCUGUCGUCAGCUCGUGUCGUGAGAUGUUGCGUUAAGUCGCGCAACGAGCGCAACCCCUGUCCUUAGUUGCCAUCAGGUAAAGCUGGGCACUCUAGGGAGACAAACCCUCUCUGAGGGUGGGAAGGUGGGGAUGACGUCAAGUCAGGAUGGCCCUUACGGCCUGGGCUGCACACGUGCUACAAUGCCCGGUACAGAGGGAAGCAAUACCGCGAGGUGGAGCAAAUCCUCAAAACCGGGCCCAGUUCAGAUUGUAGUCUGCAACUCGACUACAUGAAGCCGGAAUCGCUAGUAAUGGCGCAUCAGCUACGGCGCCGUGAAUACGUUCCCGGGCCUUGUACAC
rnacentral:rRNA from 1 species